AUUGAACGCUGGCGGCAUGCCUUACACAUGCAAGUCGAACGGUAACAGGUCUUCGGAUGCUGACGAGUGGCGAACGGGUGAGUAAUACAUCGGAACGUGCCCGAUCGUGGGGGAUAACGCAACGAAAGCUACGCUAAUACCGCAUACGAUCUACGGAUGAAAGCGGGGGAUCGCAAGACCUCGCGCGAUUGGAGCGGCCGAUAUCAGAUUAGCUAGUUGGUGGGGUAAAAGCUCACCAAGGCGACGAUCUGUAGCUGGUCUGAGAGGACGACCAGCCACACUGGAACUGAGACACGGUCCAGACUCCUACGGGAGGCAGCAGUGGGGAAUUUUGGACAAUGGGCGCAAGCCUGAUCCAGCAAUGCCGCGUGCAGGAUGAAGGCCUUCGGGUUGUAAACUGCUUUUGUACGGAACGAAACGGUGAGCUCUAAUAAAGCUUGCUAAUGACGGUACCGUAAGAAUAAGCACCGGCUAACUACGUG
rnacentral:rRNA from 1 species